rnacentral:ncRNA from 1 species
CUCAGGGCGGGGUGAAAUUCCCCACCGGCGGUAACAGUCCGCGAGCGCGGCGACGGAGUUUUCUUCGGUCGCCGGUCAGCAGAGCCGGCGCAACUCCGGCACCGACGGUCACAGUCCGGAUGAGAGAGUA